rnacentral:rRNA from 1 species
GAUGCGCNGCUAGAAUGCAAGUCGAACGAUUAAAGCCCCUUCGGGGGUGUAUAAAGUGGCGAAAGGGCGAGGAAUACGUUCCUACGNUACCCCGAGGUCGAGGAUAGCCCAGGGAAACUUGGAGUAAUACUCGAUGUGGUCUUCGGAUCAAAGAUUUAUCGCCUUGGGAGCGGGGAACGCCCUAUCAGGUUGUUGGUGAGGUAACGGCUCACCAAGCCUUAGACGGGUAGCGGGUGUGAGAGCAUGACCCGCCGCAUCGGGACUGAGACACUGCCCGGACUCCUACGGGAGGCUGCAGUAACGAAUAUUCCGCAAUGCGCGAAAGCGUGACGGAGCAAUGCCGCGUGCAGGAUGAAGCCCCUCGGGGUGUAAACUGCUGUCAGGGUAUAGGAAGAUCUGACCAAACCCAAAGGAAGGACCGGCUAACUUCGUGCCAGCAGCCGCGGUAAUACGAAGGGUCCAAGCGUUACUCGGAAUCACUGGGCUUAAAGCGUACGUAGGCGGACAAGCAGGCAUCGUGUGAAAUCCCUCCGCUCAACGGAGGAACUGCACGGUGAACCGUUUGUCUUGAGACAAGUAGGGGCGGUCGGAACGCUAGGUGGAGUGGUGAAAUGCGUUGAUAUCUAGCGGAACGCCAAAGGAGAAAUCAGGCCGCUGGGCUUGUUCUGACGCUGAGGUACGAAAGCGUGGGGAGCGAACGGGAUUAGAUACCCCGGUAGUCCACGCCGUAAACGAUGUGCACUAGGUCGUGGUGGGUCUGACCCCUUCUCGGCCGAAGCGAAAGUGUUAAGUGCACCGCCUGGGGAGUACGGUCGCAAGGCUAAAACUCAAAGGAAUUGACGGGGGCUCA